rnacentral:misc_RNA from 1 species
AACCAUAGAAACCUGCGGAGUACCUGCGGAAGGAUCAUUACAGAGUUGCAAAACUCCCUAAACCAUUGUGAACGUUACCUAAACCGUUGCUUCGGCGGGCGGCCCGGGUCCUUCCCGGCGCCCCUCGGCCCUCGCGGGCGCCCGCCGGAGGUAAGCCAAACUAUUGCAUUGUAUGGCCUCUCUGAGUCUUCUGUACUGAAUAAGUCAAAACUUUUAACAACGGAUCUCAGAUCGGAAGAG